AGGCCGCAGCUGGGACCAGGCUGAGAAGGGCAGGCUUGCUCUGGGGCUGGGUGUGGGUGGGGAGGAAGACCUGCAGGAGAGGGAAUGUCCACCUGGGGGCGCCAAACGUCCUUCCGCAGAGUUCGCGGGCCGCUGAGACCUGCCACGUCCAGAAUUUAUUUCUCUGACGGAAGUCACGUGAUGAAGUCACUGGCCAAUGGGUGUGUGACACGGAACAUGGCACCACUUGAGGUGCGGGGGUCGCAGCAGGCUAACGACCUCAAGACAGUGUCUUGGACAUGGAAGCAACCUAGAUGCCCAUCAGCAGAUGAAUGGAUAAGGAAGCUGUGGUACAUAUACACCAUGGAAUAUUACUCAGCUGUUAAAAAGAAUUCAUUUGAAUCAGUCCUAAUGAGAUGGAUGAAACUGCAGCCCCUUAUACAGAGUGAAAAGGCAGGUGGACCUGGGUGGAGAUCUACAAAGGCUUCAUAGGGUCCUGCUUGAUUACAGUUCCUUCAGGAGUCAUCCUCCCUACUUGGGGAAUGGACACAGAGUUGAAAAUCAUCUCGAGUUUCAAGCUUAGCAUCAAUAGUCUGUAUUAAGACAAUAUUAUUUCUCUCUUUGAUUGUCUUGUCAUAAGCCCUGGACAGACAUUUGAAAAUUAUGAGACAUAUUACCAUGAGGAUAAUGAUUAAAGUACACAUUUGUCAUGUUUUUCAAAAGAGUCCUCCUAGUUUAGAGGACAAGAAGAAGCGUUUUCGAGGGUUUCCGUUUGACAUAUAUGUAGUAUCCAAGUGGUCUUUGCUGUGAGGCUAGAAUUUGAGCUGUCUUGUUCACAAUUAGUGCUGCAACUCGAGAAAGCCCCCACUUGAAAGGAAGAGUAUGUGUGCUGAUCAGAGAGACCACCUCCAAGAAUAAAUAAUAAAACAAUUAUAUGUAUAAAAAAAGAGUUUCACAAAAAAAUAAAUAAAUAAAUAAACGCUCAGUUUGGUGACAAAACAAAAAAAAAAAACGCUCACUUUGGUG